GAUGAACGCUAGCUACAGGCUUAACACAUGCAAGUCGAGGGGAAACGGCAUUUAGUGCUUGCACUGAAUGGACGUCGACCGGCGCACGGGUGAGUAACGCGUAUCCAACCUACCCAUUACUGUGGGAUAACCUGCCGAAAGGCAGACUAAUACCGCAUAGUCUUCGAUGACGGCAUCAGAUUUGAAGUAAAGAUUUAUCGGUAAUGGAUGGGGAUGCGUCUGAUUAGCUUGUUGGCGGGGUAACGGCCCACCAAGGCGACGAUCAGUAGGGGUUCUGAGAGGAAGGUCCCCCACAUUGGAACUGAGACACGGUCCAAACUCCUACGGGAGGCAGCAGUGAGGAAUAUUGGUCAAUGGGCGCGAGCCUGAACCAGCCAAGUAGCGUGCAGGAUGACGGCCCUAUGGGUUGUAAACUGCUUUUGUAUGGGGAUAAAGUCAAUCACGUGUGAUUGUUUGCAGG
rnacentral:rRNA from 1 species